AUAAAAAGAGCAAACUCAGCCAUGCUCCUGGGUAAGGCUGCUCACCCAGGCCCUGGAACCUAUCCUAAUUUUUUAAAAGAGAUUGAUGGAGACCUCACGUGUAUAGCCCAGGCAAGAAGAUAGAGAAAACAACUCCACACUAUUGAGAUAACAAGUACAGUGGGAUAGUGACUGUAGUGGGGUAAUGACUGUAGUAGGAUACACAGCGGGACAGUAACUGCAGUGGGGUAACAACUGCAGUGGGAUACACAGUGGGAUAGUGACUGCAGUGGGAUAGUGACUGCAGUGGGAUAGUGACUGCAGUGGGGUAGCGAACAAUGAAACUGUUAACACCCCCCCCCCUGGGGAGAGAGGCAUGGUCACUAUAAACUGAUCUUGCCAAGAGAAGUGAUUGCUCAUCACUUUUCUUCUCUGCUUUCUCAUUACCUUUCCCCUGCUCACAUCACCAACAUAGGAAGUCAGAGCCAUGUCCUAUCACUCAAGGGACAGAGGCAAGAGGAUCUCUGUUUUGAGGAGGGUACGAUCACAUGUGGCCCAAGGAAGCCUUGAACCUGCAACAUAGUUGAGAAUUAUUGAUUUCCUGCCUCCACUAACCAAGUGGUUAUAGAGAUGCCUCACCAUGCCUGGUUUAUGCUGAGCUAGGGACAGAACCCAGGGCUUCCUGAGUGGCAGCUCAGGAGUCUAUCAACUAGGCUACAUUCCUAGUGGUCUGUGCUGGUUAGUGUUUGUCAACUUGAUACAAACUAGAGUCACUUGGGAAGAGGUAACCUCAAUUGAGAAAACUCCUCCAUCAUAUUGGCCUGUAGGUAAGGUUGGGUGGUCCUAGAUGUAGAGGAAAGCAAGAUAGGCAGUAAGCAGCAUUCCAAUGUGGUUUCGGCUUCAGUUCCUACCCUGAUUUCCUUUGAUAAUAGACUGUAACCUGUACAGUUAGAUUUUUCUUAGAUUUUUCUAAACCUACUUUAAUAACAGUUCUUAAACACUUUGACACUCCCCACCCCUUCUAGCCCAGCAUUGAACAAAGGAAGGGGAGAAAAGAUGAUAAAUAGCACAAGAGGAUGUGAACCUGUUUAGGAGUAGUUCUUUGGGUGCGAGUCCAAUCUCCAGUAUCAAGAUACCAGCAGUCCAGUUCAGUAGUGUCAGGAUACCAAACAUGAAUUAGCAGUGGUGGCAUGAUCCAGCAGAAAUAGCCAGGCCUCCACCAAUUUGGCACGAGUCAGUGGGAGUGACCAGAACCAGCCAGAAUGCCGGGAGUUCUCUGUCAUGCCUCUCUCAACGAAGUGAAGAUCAGCGAAGACAUGAUACCAGCAAAGAGUUGCACAGCUAGCUAUGCCAGCAUCCUGUCACUGGUCAUUGAGUCCAAUUAUACUCUCUCCAAAUACCACAUGUCCUCCCAUGGAUCUUGUCUCAGCAAGACACCAUGUGACUCUGAAUCACAUGACACAACCAGGAACUUCCACUUCACUAACCUGUAAGCCAAAUAAAACAUUUUUUUUCC